CCUCCAGCUUCUUCUUCUUAUGUUCCACCUCCUGCUUGGCCUGGCCCAGGACCCGCAGCUCCCCGGCCAGACCCUGACCUGUAGUAAUUUGAGGCUGCUGAUGUCACUCUUAUGUGUCAUCACCAAAAAGCAUCACCAAAAAGCAUUACCCUCUUGAACUGCUCAAGCUGCUCUGUGAGCUCCUCCACCGCCUGUGCGUGUUUCUGCCUCAUCUCCUGGACCUGAGCCUCAUGGGACCGCGUCUCUUCAUCCAGGGCCUUCUUCAGCACCGUCACCUCCUGCUCCCUCUUGGCCCUUGGUGGGAGGAACACAGUGAAUGGCAGUUGGGUGGAGACAGAGGGUCAUCUCAGUGCCGUGCAAAAGAAUGAGAGCUCUUCCAGGACCCAGAGCUGCAGUCCUCAUCACCACCCCUCUCUAGCUGUGUGACCUUGGGUCAUUCACCUAACAUCUCUGGACCUAAAAUUUCCUCAGCUGCAAAAUGUGGAGCAUAUCACCUGCCUAGGACAUCUGUAAUGACUGGCAAACAAAUACACAAAGUAAUAGAAUUGAAAGGAUGUCUGUGAACUG
rnacentral:lncRNA from 1 species